UCGCCUGUUUAUCAAAAACAUUUCUAAAUGUAAAUUAUUUUUAGUAAGACCUGCUCAAUGACCCUUUAAAUUGCCGCAUUCAAUGUGCUAAGGUAGCAUAAUCAUUUGCCUUUUAAUUACAGGCUAGUAUGAAUGGUUAUUCAUGUAGAUUUCUUUAUUAACUUUAUAUCUUCAAUUUGUCUUUUAAGUUAAAAGACUUUUAUUUAUUAGAGGGACGACAAGACCCUAUCGAGCUUUACUUAUGUUGAACUGGGGCGGUAAAAAACAAAUUCUUUUUUUUAUUCCUUCAAUUAUUCUUUCAAUAAAAAUUUUUAAGUUACCGUAGGGAUAACAGCAUAAUCUUCUUUUAAAGCUCCUAUUAAAAAGAAAGUUUAUGACCUCGAUGUUGAAUUAUUAAUCUUUUUGAAGCAAAAUUUAAAAAAGAAAGUCUGUUCGACUUUUAAAACUUUACGUGAUCUGAGUUC
rnacentral:rRNA from 1 species